AGAUAGUCCCGGGAAACCGGGUAAAGGUCGGAUUCUUUCCGGAGAGUCCCGCUCCUUCAGGUGAACGAUCUCGGUUGUUUCUCUGAAGGCAUGAUCACCCCGUCCGAUGCGGAAGUUCGUGCUUCCGUCGAACGCGAAAGUCGGACGGCGGCCAUGAGUCGCAACGCAAAGCCGCGGCAAGUGGAGUUAGCGAGAAGAGACUAGGCUUUGGUUUCUUCAAGUGAAGCGGUCACCAAUCAGGUGUGGUAGUUACCGUAAAAAAUCCGGAUUGAUUCGAGGCCCCGAGCGCUGACAUGGGCGCAGAGGCCAGUACUCUUCGGAGUACAGGUUUCAAACGAGGCCUUGAGUGAGAUCGUGAAAGUUCGCCGUCGGGCGAAUGGAAGCGAAAAGUCGACCCCAAGCUGAAAAGCGAAGGGUCGAGUUGUUGAAAAAUGACCUGAGAGCAUGAGGCGAGACCCGUAGCGCAGGGCAAAACUUCCACGGGCAACUGUGGGACGGCUCUGUAAAAAAGGAGAGGGAGUUCAUGAACAGCAACUCCCACUUCCAGUGGAUCGAAGGCACGCCGCGAGGCGCCCCGACGAUUCGCCGAGAAGCCUCUGUUCGAAAUCAUCGGGAGUGAUCCAGAUGACGGUCCUGCCAUGAGACCGCAACGAGAGCAUGUCGCAUCGAAUGGACUCGGGGAGUCGGCAGCUUGCCCCACGGAUGAGCGCCUAAUGCCGGCAUUCGGGAACGAGCGCGUGGCGAACGCC
rnacentral:ncRNA from 1 species